rnacentral:lncRNA from 1 species
GAAUAUUUGAUUAGGACCAUAACAAAUCAGUACCACCCGAGACCUUAACGUCAGAGAUUGGCAUAGCCCAUUCAGAAAAGCCCAACCAGCGUGUUUGCUGUUCAUAACUCUCUCCACAUAAGGUAACAGCACCCAAAAUCCGACAAAUCCUCUUAGAACAUUGAACACUCUUUAGUACUAACUGCAAGUAAUGCUAAAAUUCAUAGACGUUGCAUACACUCCGGGUUUUAAGAGAGUAGGCUAUUAAUGACAUUGGACCAAACCAUUCCACAUGACGCGUGCAUGUUGUGCAAAUGCGUCACAACAGUGCAACAUGCAUGGCCAUCUGUGGCCACACAAAAGCCAAACAGACUAUUAUCCCGGCUUUGCUGCCUUUUUUGUUUCUCAAUCCUUUCAUUUCCUUCCAAACAUUGCAAGUUUCAGAGAGAUCUAUGGCUAUCACUCAGAGAUAAAUCUCAUAUUAAUUGAGGGGUACAAGAAUCUCAAGGUUUGAAAUGGAACUCAAAGCUAUAUUUAAAGUCUCUUCUAUUUGAUUUUCAUAUUUGAAGAAAAAUGUCAUUUUCAUCACAGAAAUAAAAAUUCCUAAAACGGGUCUAGUUCUUCACAGUAUUUGUGAGAUUCUUUUGCAGGAUUCAAGUUUCAGACCUCUAGCUCAUUCAUCCUAGAAAUCCCAGGUAAAUCUGAUCAAAUUCACGAUUAUAUGCAUGCAUCCUCCUUAAAAGAUAAAAGUAUAUUUUAUGGUCUUGUUUGUAAUUAUUUUCUGCUCAUGCAACUCACCUAGUUGAAAAAUCUAGCUACGAAGUCAUGUGAUUGUUCAACAAGUAUCUUUGCACUAAUUCCCUCUAUCCCAACAAAGCAGCCAAUUUUCAGAAGUAGGGUUAUGCCAUGGUUCGAAUUGAUUUAGUUUGGUUCUUCUUUAGCAGUAAUUUUCAGACCAAACUGAAAAAUCCUCCUAAAACAUAAAUGAUCAAAAUUAAAUCCACGAUUUGGCAUGUACGUAAUAAAGACAUCAAGACAUCGUUUGGGCCUUAUAAUUCUUUUAAACAAGACCUCUGCAUUCUUCGGGACCCAUUUGUAAAAAAGGUCUCCAGGUCCAAAUGUAAUCAAAGUGUGGCCACUUAGACGUAGCUAGCAAAAAAUUUUAUGAGAUGCCAACCAAGAAUGUUAUCUGUUGGACAAGCACAAUUUCUGGGUACAUGAACUGCGGUCAGCUUGAUGAAGCCAGAGGGUUAUUCAAUACAAGUCCAGCCAAGGAUAUUGUCCUGUGGAUGGCUAUGGCCACCACAAUAGUUUUAAUUCUUAUAAGGAAUAGAACACUUUUAGCUUAAAAGUAAAGCAAGUGUAUAAGACUACAAAUUGACAAUGUGAAAGUAGUUUCUAUACAAUAGCAAUUCCUAAAAUUUUCUCGUAAACAGAAGAAAUGUUUGAGAAAAGAUAAUCUCAUUGGUUUUGGUGGGCAAACCUGAACUCAACAGAAAAUUCAAGUUGAACCCUUUUCAUCCCAAACCAAAGAAAAGUUAAUUAAUUGAGUUCAUUCUUUUCUUCUUCUUCUUUUUAAGUAUCUUUAAUUCUUUCUUUUCUGCACGCCCAGCUUAACAUGUUUAGUACAUCGAGCAAACCUCUUAAGUGUUUUAGAACAUCUGUUAUCCUUCCAUGGGCAAUUUGAUUGAGAUGGCUGCCAUUCUGCAAACACGUAGAUCUCAUACUACAACCUCAUAUAUUGGAACACAGAACUAGGGUCCAGUCAGUGGCCAAUCCAGAAACUAACAAACUAACUCUAAUAGUAUCAUAUAAGAGAGGCUAAUAAACAUAUAUAUGCUGAUUAUUAUUACAGUCCUGACUCAUGAAAAUUGUAAUCAAACAUUAGAUAUAUGACUAUUAAACUCUAUUCCAAAUAUAUAACCUUUAAAAUUCACAGAAAUGUGAAAAGACAAAGGCCAACUAAUGUCUAGGCAGCAGAGGAAUGCUCUAUUAGGAGCUGAUAUGUUCCUUCCUAAUUUGGGAAAAAAGCAAGAAAAGCUCUUCACAGCCUUCAAGAAACCUAUAAGCUUGAAAAGAUUUCACUAGUUACUUUAACGUCUUCCAGAUCUGACAUCCAAGAGUAGUUUUGUUUGGUGUGGUUUACAGCAACAGCAGCUAAUUAUGGACAGAAGUAUCAGCAGACAAAGAACAAGAGCUCAUACAUCUGAAGCCACCGACUACAUAAGCCGACUACCAGAUGUAAUUCUAGUCUAUAUACUUUCAUUCCUCCCUCUGAAAGACUGCAUCAAAAUAAGUGCCCUAUCCAAAAGAUGGAAGUACCUUUGGACAAAGACUUCUCGACUAAAUAUAAACGAAAUAGAGAUCAUUGCUAAGCUAGUGAGAAGCAAUUUCUACUGCACCAUCUGUGAGGACAUUUGGACUUCUUCUACUACUUGUUGCCAGAAGCAUUUGCUUAAGGUAGCAAGGAGCAUGUUUGCAGAUGUUGUAGACCGAACUCUCCUACUACACUCAGGCUGCACCCUGGACAAAUUCCAAUUGUCUUUCCUUUAUGAUGUCUAUGAUGGAUUGACAGAAAAGGUUGAUAUCUGGGUUAGGUAUGCUUGGGCAUCCAACAUCAAAGAUAUGGAGUUGAGCUUCUUUAAUCCAGGUCUGUUGGAAUACUUCGAUGAGAGGGUACCUGUUCGCGUAGGUGUCGACCUUAAUUUACUAUAUGAACUGCCUCAUAACUGUUUGGUAUCAAAGAUUCUAAGCAGUUUGAACAUGAACUGCUGCAAGCUAAGAGCAUCUGCUUUAAAAGUUUUUCCUUCUCUUCGAAGGAUAUUCCUAAAGCAGGUUGUCAUCCUUGAUUCUUCAGUUAGAGUUCUGGCAUCAAAAUUUCCUCUUCUAGAAGAUCUGAGCCUGGAAAAUUGUGUCAUCUCCAUACAAUUUUUUGUAUGUGAUGAAGACUUGAUGAUUAAAAGACUUUAUGUGACCAACUGCAAGCCCAAUGAGAUCCCCACCUUCGAGAUUAACAUAUCAACUCCGCGCCUAGUACUACUGGUGUUACAUGGAGUCUAUGUCAAAUUGACUUCUAUGAGGAAAGUGACACAACUGGUUGACGUUACAAUCGACAUCAGAUGUUUGCUUGUCAGCAAAGAACAAGCAGGUCUUACUUCAUUGCUGAGUGGAUUACGCCACUCCCAGAAUCUGACAUUAACAUCAUGGUGCAUUCAGGUAGCUUUUCUCUAUUCCUCUUGCUUGCAAAUUUUGAGCCAAAUACACUCAUUGUCACAUAUCAGUCUGUGGUCAUCAGGCUCUGCCUGCAGAUGAAAAUCUGACAGAUCAAGCGAGAUUCCGACUUCAAGAGGUGGUGCAACUAACUUUAGCGCUGUGCUUAGUAAAGCAUGAUCUUCCGAGGGUGGCCUGCCUCCUAAGGAGCUGUCCAAAUCUGAAAUAGCUGACUCUAACAUUGCAAGGAAAUGCUAGGGCAUAUAACAUGGUAUCAGAAAAAAGAAUCUUACAAGGAAAUAUUAUGAUAUUUUCUGCUCUAUCAGGAGCAUCUAACAUGUGAUCUUACUGUUUUCUUUAGGGUAAUUUCUUCCGUAAUGGUGGUCCAGACAUUUCAGACUGUGAUCCAGAGCACUACUUUCAAUCUGAAUGUUUGCCAUUCCCUUGUCUGGAAAACAGUCUCGAGAAAAUUACAGUUAAUGGGUUUGCUGGAAGAAAGAAUGAGAUGAACGUUGUCCGUUUUCUGCUGAGAAACGCAAGAGUCUUGGAGGAAAUUUCCAUCUUUUAUGAAGACGCAGAGGAGUAUUAUAGAGGAGCAAUGGGACUGUGGAGGCAAAAUGGGCAAUUCCAUCAAAUAUUUUGUGAGCUGCUAAGGUGUCAGAGGGUAUCGGCUCGAGCUGAGGUGAUAUUUUCAAGCCCCCCAAGCGAAUAUGUUAAUUAUGAAGGGUCCUACUAUCUGGUUCAGUAGUUAUGUCUAUGCUGUUCCUAAGUUCUCCCUUUCACAUCGUGCUGAGGAAGGCAUACGUUUUAUAUGGCAGAUCUCUUAUGUUUGGUACCAACUUGUUUGCAGUACUUAUAAAUAAAUACCGCUCAUGUGAUUAUGACGUCCAAUUGUGACAAAAUGACGUGUGGCCUUUUAUCCAUCUAUUCUUGUUAGCUCUAUUGAAUAUCCUCAGCUAUUAUCAGGAGUAAACCAAGCCUCUUGCAACCAAGGACCCAAUUCAUUUUGAGGUAGCUUGACUUCUGGCAAGUAUUUAACAUCCACCUUAGGCCAAACAAAAGAUAUGUACAUGCUACAUGCACACCUACUCAGUCAAGCAGUACAAAUCUUGUUUUAUUUUUACAGGGACGGAACACCUAGCAAACCAUCUAAUAAAAAAGCAUACAAAAAUCAACUUGACUGCCCCUGCAACAUAUUUUCAGCACCCCUGUGCCUUGUGUUUCUACAUUCUGAACACCGUUACAAUAGUUGAGAAUGAGUAGUUCUAGUCUAGAUGGAAUCCAUGAAGUGAAUAUGACAUGACAGAUUAAACAGAAUCCCAUAAAACCAUAUCACAUUUAGAGUCCCACAUAUAGCCAAUGCAAUUCAAACAUCAAAGACAUGAUUAACUAUAACAUUGCAAAUUCAAGAAUGCAGCACAUACCAACAACAUUAAGUGAGCAGGCUUCUUUGCCUUGGGUGCAAAAGAGUAAGAGGAUCCAGCCUCACGUGAUUGAUGAGAAAGCGCUCCUGGUUUCCAUAUCAACAGAAAGCAGGUGUAUUACAGAACAAGUAGCGAAAAUCCAGCCCAUGGUGGCGCCAGCGCCUCAAAUAGAGAUGUCCCAUCCAGUAGAGAGAUUGAAACUGGGCUCAGGUUGGAAUGAGAGAGAAAGCUAAGAACCCUGUAUAAAAAGCAAGAGAAUAGAAAAAAUGGAUGGAAAUUGUCAGGUUGGAUCUCAAAUUGGACCCAGUGUUAGAUCUUCUAUGGAACUAACCAUACAGGCAUCGAUUUGUAUUGUAAUCUUGGAAACGUUUACAGCGUGUUCUGUGUUUUGGCUAAGAGUUUGUGCAUAAGGAAUUUGACAUGUGAAGAAAACAACUCUCUCUCUCUCUCUCUCUCUCAAGCAAGUUUGAGAUUGAUUGACCAGAAAGAAUUACUGAAACGGGAGCUAUAUUACUCAAACGGAAAAUGAGCGCAACGAUGCACAAAUCAAUGGAAGAAAAAGUUGCGAAUUGAUGCAGAUAACCCCCAUAGCAACAUCCAGUUUAGCAUCGUAUAUUGUCAAUAUUCCUGGAAAUCUCGGCUAAAGUCUUGAACUUUUCGAGGUUAUUUUCACCCACAAACGGUGUGAACGCGGCAAAAACCAAACUUUAACCGACUUCGAUCCAUAAAAACGCACUGAAAAUAGAUUCGCGGAGAAAAACGCCAUCCGGGUACCUCUCGGGAGAAGUUUCGCAGUCUGGAGCGAAGUUUCUGAAAAGAAAGCGGAGGGGGCGACGAUGGCGAAAUGGCUUUUAGCUAUUGCCGGUGGGGGGGGACCGCUUCACGGUUUUGCAUUUUCUGGAACCCUGCUCCGCGACCGCAGAUCGUCCCGGGACGAUCCCUGCUUUUCUAGAUGACUCUCGUGGGAACACGAUUCUUUUGAGGCGUCCGAUGAUUCGAGCCAGCGGGGAAAUGGUAAGGGAAAUCGAAAGGCGAGAGGAAUGCGUCCCGCCAUGCUACGCGCGCUUUCUUUUUGCUUUGUCGCGGACCAUUUCUCUACUACCACCAACGCCAACACACUCAAAACCGAAUGUGAUCUUCUUUUCAUCGUGUUGUUGUCGUUGUCUGAUAAUUGCCACCACCUUCUCUUUUACUGCAGAUUUUUUUAUACAUAAAAAAGUGUACGAUCAACGAUAUUGAACAAUCAAUUGAUGCAUAUGAACAAAAAUCGGGUGUUGUACGGUCUUUUCUACUUUUGCGGGUACUGAUAAAUCUUAAAAAUUCAUAGAUUACCCACUCUUGGACCCUAUCGCCUCUCGGACAGCUGG